AGUGAACGCUGGCGGUAGGCCUAACACAUGCCAGUCGAACGGCAGCACAGUAAGAGCUUGCUCUUACGGGUGGCGAGUGGCGGACGGGUGAGGAAUACAUCGGAAUCUACUUUUUCGUGGGGGAUAAAGUAGGGAAACUUACGCCAAUACCGCAUACGACCUACGGGUGAAAGCAGGGGAUCUUCGGACCUUGCGCGAUUGAUUGAGCCGAUGUCGGAUUAGCUAGUUGGCGGGGUAAAGGCCCACCAAGGCGACGAUGCGUAGCUGGUCUGAGAGGAUGAUCAGCCACACUGGAACUGAGACACGGUCCAGACUCCUACGGGAGGCAGCAGUGGGGAAUAUUGGACAAUGGGCGCAAGCCUGAUCCAGCCAUACCGCGUGAGUGAAGAAGGCCUUCGGGUUGUAAAGCCCUUUUGUUGGGAAAGAAAAGCAGCAGGUUAAUACCCCGCUGUUCUGACGGUACCCAAAGAAUAAGCACCGGCUAACUUCGUG
rnacentral:rRNA from 1 species